rnacentral:rRNA from 1 species
AGAGUUUGAUCCUGGCUCAGAUUGAACGCUGGCGGCAGCCCUUACACAUGCAAGUCGAGCGAGAAAGUUUCUUCGGAAGCGAGUAAAGCGGCGGACGGGUGAGUAACGCGUAGGAAUCUACCAUUCAGUGGGGGAUAGCUCGGGGAAACCCGAAUUAAUACCGCAUAUACCCUAAGGGGGAAAGAGGGCCUAUCCUUGGAAGCUCUUGCUGUUUGAUGAGCCUGCGUGAGAUUAGUUUGUUGGUGAGGUAAUGGCUCACCAAGACUACGAUCUCUAGCUGGUCUGAGAGGACGAUCAGCCACACUGGGACUGAGACACGGCCCAGACUCCUACGGGAGGCAGCAGUGGGGAAUAUUGCACAAUGGGCGCAAGCCUGAUGCAGCCAUGCCGCGUGUGUGAAGAAGGCCUUCGGGUUGUAAAGCACUUUCAGUAAGGAGGAAAGGUUAAGUGUUAAUAGCGCUUAGCUGUGACGUUACUUACAGAAGAAGCACCGGCUAACUCCGUGCCAGCCGCCGCGGUAAUAC